rnacentral:hammerhead_ribozyme from 1 species
GCUUUGCCGAGGAGUCCUAUACUAGGACGAAACGGCCGUCCAAUGC